GUCCAGGGAUGGGAAUCGAACCCACAGUGUUCCGCUUACCGGGCAGAUGCCAUGUCCACUAAGCUACCCUGGA